rnacentral:rRNA from 1 species
CCUACGGGUGGCAGCAGUGGGGAAUAUUGCACAAUGGGGGGAACUCUGAUGCAGCGAUGCCGCGUGAGUGAAGAAGUAUUUCGGUAUGUAAAGCUCUGUUAGCAGGGAAGAAGAAAGACGGUACCUGACCAAGAAGCCCCGGCUAACUACGUGCCAGCAGCCGCGGUAAUACGGAGGGGGCAAGCGUUAUCCGGAUUUACUGGGUGUAAAGGGAGCGUAGACGGCUGGGCAAGUCUGAUGUGAAAGGUCGGGGCCCAACCCCGGGACUGCAUUUGAAACUGUUGAACUAGAGUACAGGAGCGGUAAGCGGAAUGCAUGGUGUAGCGGUGAAAUGCUUAGAGAUCAGACAGAACACCGAUUGCGAAGGCAGCUUACUAGACUAUAACUGACGUUGAGGCACGAAAGCGUGGGGAGCAAACAGGAUUAGAUACCCGGGUAGUC